AGGAGAAGUCGUAACAAGGUUUCCGUAGGUGAACCUGCGGAAGGAUCAUUGAAUUAUCAAAACCACAAUGUGAACCGGUUUGUCCCACGCUUUUGCACAGCGCGGUGCCAUGCGCUGGCGGGCCCUGGGAUUGCACUCGCAAGGGUGCAUUCUUGGGGUUAUCUGUGCAAUUGCGUGUUUUUCCCACACCCAGUGUUUUCACUGAGUUGUGCCUUUCUUGGGCGCAGCCAAACCUAACCUCUGAAGAAAGGUUGUCAUACACUGACAAUCACAAACGAAAACAACUCUCAACAACGGAUAUCUUGGCUCUCGCAACGAUGAAGAACGCAGCGAAAUGCGAUACGUAGUGUGAAUUGCAGAAUUCCGUGAACCAUCGAAUCUUUGAACGCAUAUUGCGCUCGAGCCUUCGGGCAAGAGCAUGUCUGCCUCAGCGUCGGUUUACACCCUCACACCCCUAUUUUUAUUGAUAGCGUCAAGCCUUAUUCUAGGCUUGCGGGUGUGGAAUUGGCUUCCUCAAUCGAUCUUGCAAUUGAUUGGGUUGGCUGAAGUUUAGAGGCUUGAGCAAGGACCCGUUAUGGGCAUCAACUGGAUAGGUAGUGCCAGCCAUUCGGCUGUCUACACGAAGUUGUUGCUUGUGGACUUUGCUGGGGGCCAGCAGGAAACACGCUUUUGCAUGCCCUAAACUUUCGACCUGAGCUCAGACAAGACUACGGACUGAACUUAAGCAUAUCAAUAAGCGGAGGA
rnacentral:rRNA from 1 species